UGUUUUAUAGUGUAAACAACACAUUGUAUUUUCGUUACAAAGCUGAAACUAAUGUUUCUAGAACUUUCUAUUUA
rnacentral:tRNA from 1 species